rnacentral:rRNA from 1 species
AACGAACGCUGGCGGCAUGCCUAACACAUGCAAGUCGAACGAGACCUUCGGGUCUAGUGGCGCACGGGUGCGUAACGCGUGGGAACCUGCCCUUAGGUUCGGAAUAACUCCCCGAAAGGGGUGCUAAUACCGGAUAAUGUCUUCGGACCAAAGAUUUAUCGCCUUUGGAUGGGCCCGCGUUGGAUUCGCUAGUUGGUAGGGUAAAAGCCUACCAAGGCGACGAUCCAUAGCUGGUCUGAGAGGAUGAGCAGCCACACUGGGACUGGGACACGGCCCAGACUCCUGCGGGAGGCAGCAGUGGGGAAUAUUGGACAAUGGGCGGAAGCCUGAACCAGCAAGGCCGCGUGAGUGAUGAAGGCCUUAGGGUUGUAAAGCUCUUUUACCCGGGAUGAUAAUGACAGUACCGGGAGAAUAAGCACCGGCUAACUCCGUG